rnacentral:rRNA from 1 species
UACGUAGGGGGCUAGCGUUGUCCGGAAUCGAUUGGCGUAAAGAGCGUGUAGGCGGCCGCACAGGUCCGUUGUGAAAACUGGAGGCUUAACCUUCAGACGUCGAUGGAAACCGUGCGGCUAGAGUCCGGAAGAGGAGAAUGGAAUUCCUGGUGUAGCGGUGAAAUGCGCAGAUAUCAGGAAGAACACCCGUGGCUAAGGCGGUUCUCUAGUACGGUACUGACGCUGAGACGCGAAAGCGUGGGGAGCGAACAGG